UGGGGAAUUUUGGACAAUGGGGGCAACCCUGAUCCAGUAAUGCCGCGUGAGUGAAGAAGGCCUUCGGGUUGUAAAGCUCUUUUGUCAGGGAAGAAACAGCAGCUCUAACGCAGCUGUGAAUGACGGUACCUGAAGAAUAAGCACCGGCUAACUACGUGCCAGCAGCCGCGGUAAUACGUAGGGUGCAAGCGUUAAUCGGAAUUACUGGGCGUAAAGCGUGCGCAGGCGGUUAUACAAGACAGGCGUGAAAUCCCCGGGCUUAACCUGGGAAUUGCGUCUGUGACUGUAUGGCUAGAGUGUGUCAGAGGGGGGUAGAAUUCCACGUGUAGCAGUGAAAUGCAUAGAUAUGUGGAGGAAUACCAAUGGCGAAGGCAGCCCCCUGGGAUAACACUGACGCUCAUGCACGAAAGCGUGGGGAGCAAACAGGAUUAGAUACCCUGGUAGUCCACGCCCUAAACGAUGCUGACUAGUUGUUCGGGAUUUUAUCCUGAGUAACGUAGCUAACGCGUGAAGUUGACCGCCUGGGGAGUACGGUCGCAAGAUUA
rnacentral:rRNA from 1 species